rnacentral:misc_RNA from 1 species
GAUGAAGAACGUAGCGAAAUGCGAUACGUAAUGUGAAUUGCAGAAUUCAGUGAAUCAUCGAGUCUUUGAACGCACAUUGCGCCCGCCAGUAUUCUGGCGGGCAUGCCUGUUCGAGCGUCAUUACAACCCUCAGGCCCCCGGGCCUGGCGUUGGGGAUCGGCGGAGCCCCCCGUGGGCACACGCCGUCCCCCAAAUGCAGUGGCGGUCCCGCCGCAGCUUCCAUCGCGUAGUAGCUAACACCUCGCGACUGGAGAGCGGCGCGGCCACGCCGUAAAACACCCAACUCUUCUGAAGUUGACCUCGAAUCAGGUAGGAAUACCCGCUGAACUUAAGCAUAUCAAUAAGCGGAGGA